GCAGCAAGCAAAGUUUUGAAGCUGCGUCGAAUUUGCUGAAACUAAGAAGUAGAAAGACUGUUUACAUUUCACCUCUGGACAAAGAAUGAUUGAUUACAUCUACACAAUAAUAAUAAGGAAAAAAAGCUUGUGUCAGCUGUCUUCUCUGAGCAGCGGUCUUGUGAUCACCGGCCUCAGUAUAAUAAAGUUGAGAUUUGACAGAACUACACACCCAUCUGAGGCCUACCAGUUUUAAUUCAUGAUCGCCCCGGAUACUUCUACAACUAACCCGCCUGGUGUCUGAUGUUGAUGCAGUCUGGGCACUAGUAUAUGUUGGCUUGCUGACUAUCACUGACGAUGAAGCACUUCUCCAAAUCUUGACCCCUUGUCUUCUGCCAUCAUUGUUCAGGGUAGUACUACAAAGAACUGUCUCCAGGGUCUACCUCCAACAUUUGCUUCCCGACCACCAUGUGCUACGUUUGGAUCACUGCUACAUGUGGGUUACCCUGAUACUGUGAAGAGCACCUACAAUAUGAUGCUUGACUUGGGACAGAAAAAAAAAAACAUUGGCAACUUGUGUGGCCAACUCAUUGCCGUAUUUAAAAUCAUUGUACCGCUACCUCCAUUGUUUAACAUAACCAAAAGCAGAUUGUUUUUGCUUUGUUUCAAAUUUUUUGUAAUACAAGUUAAAACUACAUUGAAAAAAAUAUAUCAUCUUUAACUUUGAACUGUCACUACAUUUGAUUUAAUUAUGUGUGUGAAGAAUAGAACAUUGUUGACAUGAAUUUGUAAUAGAUUUUUGAAGUAUUUAAGUUACUAGAGUAAUGGUAACUUUUUUUAAGGCAAUUGGUCAAAACUAGAUUUCUGUUCAAGUAAAUACAACUUAGAAAUUCCAAGUCGCAGGAAAUGUUACUUGAUUUAGCUAAACUUAAAUAAGUUGUUUGAAAUACGUACAUAGUAUAAUGUACUUAAUUUAGUUGUUGAA